rnacentral:misc_RNA from 1 species
UGUCACAACAGACCCAAUUGUCUUUUGUUGCAGCAGGGGCUGUUGCUGCAGGACCAACAUCAGAUAUAGGCCAAUUUCCAGAGUAGGGAGCAACUCUCAAGGCUGUUUUAUGAUGCACUUCAGAUGUUGACAGCUUAUCAAUUUUGUUACCAUUUGGUCUCUCCUUUAAUGCAUUAUUAGAGAAGCGCAUGCCUUUUUCACCCAUGUUAGAGUCCUUCUGCCUGUCUUCAUAACGCAUUUCCAACGGACUAAUCUGUUUUUCUUCUUGACCUAGUUCAAUAUCCCCAAAAAAAU